CGCGGGGUCGCAGGGUUUCUCAGAAGCGCCUCCCGCAGCCCCCGUCAGCGCCCGCCAGACACACGGCCAGCAUCCCCCGCCAAGGUCCUGGGGGUCGCAAGCUGGGGACCUGGGGAGCGCCUUCCCAUACCGCCCCCACCCCCGCAGGCAUUCUUACUGUCACUAUUUGCCUGCCGCUAAACCGACCCAGCGGGGGGCCUCGGGGCUCAAACUUUGGCUGAUUUGACCGUGACUGGGCAGAUGGGGCAACUGAGGCACGGAGAGAGACUACAUCAGCCAAAUUCAAUUAAAAUCCACAAGGUCAGCUAGGUGUGGUAGCACAUGCCUGUCAUCCCUGUGACAGGGAGGCUGAGGCAGGAGAGUCUGUAGUUCAAGCCCAGCCUGGGCAAGAGCAACUUAGUGAAACCUUCUCUCAAAACAGAAAAGAUAAAAAGGUCUGGAGAUGCAGCUUGGUGUGAAAGCCCCCUGUGUUCAAUCCCCAAGACCACAAAAAAGGACGAGAAGGAGGACAAGGAGGGUGAGGAGGAGAAGGAGAUCCCAAGUUCCCUGCGCAUCAGUGCACCCCCACUUACGAUGUGGAGCCCGAGGAUCAGAGAGGGGCUGAUGCACCCCUGGGCCCCGCACCGCCUUCCCCUGCCCAGCUGGAGGAGAUAAAGCCGUGAGCCGUUAUCAGGGUCGUCCUGACAGAUGAGCCGGAGAAUUCUUCGCUGCCAUCGAUCCGGCAUCCCGGCCUCCGUGGCUGGCCACGAUUAAUUUAUGUGGGACCAGAAAGCACUAAUUACGUCUGUUUAAGAGGAAGUUAACUUUAACGCCCUGGCCACCCGCAGCCUGUGGGAGCGGCCAGGACACCAUCGGCCACCGAGACCUCGAAGCCUCCCAGGAGUGCCUUCAACCCUCUCCCCACUGUGCCACAAGAGCCCAGGGCUAAGCCAGGUAUGGUGGCGCAUACCUGCCAUCCCAGCAGUCUGGGAGGCUGAGGCAGGAGUGUCACAAAUUCAAGCCCAGGGUGGGCAACUAAGCGACUUCGCCAGGCCCUGAGCGGAGUGAGUGCUCCUCUCUUGGUUUUGUCUGGAUUUGCGGUGCUGAGGAUGGAAGCCCGGGCCUCAUGCAUGCUAGGCAAGUGGUUGUCACUGAGCCACUGCCCCAGCCCUUCUUGUUUUGAGCCAGCAUCUCACUGUAUUGCUGAGGGUGCCCUCAAACUUGCAAUCCUCCUGCCUCAGCCUCCUAAGUAGCUGGGAUGAGCCAGGCAUGGUGGCGCACGCCUGUAAUCCCAGCACUCGGGAGGCUGAGGCAGGAG
rnacentral:lncRNA from 1 species